CCUACGGGAGGCUGCAGUGAGGAAUAUUGGUCAAUGGACGAGAGUCUGAACCAGCCAAGUAGCGUGAAGGAUGACUGCCCUAUGGGUUGUAAACUUCUUUUAUAAAGGAAUAAAACGAGGCACGUGUGCCUUUUUGCAUGUACUUUAUGAAUAAGGAUCGGCUAACUCCGUGCCAGCAGCCGCGGUAAUACGGCGGAUCCGAGCGUUAUCCGGAUUUAUUGGGUUUAAAGGGAGCGUAGAUGGGUUGUUAAGUCAGUUGUGAAAGUUUGCGGCUCAACCGUAAAAUUGCAAUUGAUACUGGCAGUCGUGAGUACAGUUGAGGUAGGCGGAAUUCGUGGUGUAGCGGUGAAAUGCUUAGAUAUCACGAAGAACCCCGAUUGCGAAGGCAGCUUACUAAACUGUGACUGACAUUGAUGCUCGAAAGUGUGGGUAUCAAACAGGAUUAGAUACCCCAGUAGUC
rnacentral:rRNA from 1 species